CAGUUGUUUGCCUAUUUAGAAGUAGGAUAUAUUUCUGCGUGUGAUAAUGUAGAAAAUGGUUCACAUACCUGAGAACAGCAAGGCGUGCAAUUUUUUGUGUCAUUAUUACCAUUCCAAGUGAACUCGUUUACCCAUUUUUGAACAUUCGAACCAUUGUUAAUCACUGACCCUGAUCCACAUGAUGAAGACUCAUCUUCCACUUAUGCAUCCGAAGAUUCAUAUUCCAUUUGUGACAACUUGAAGGCUAAUUUUACAACAACUGAACAUCAAACUAAAUAUAAAUAUGUACAGGAUAAAACAGAGAGGAAACAAAUAAUAGUGAAUAUAAAUACUGAACAAAACGAGCAGCGUUUGGAAAAGAAACAGGAACUGUGACGCCAAAAUCUUUAUUGAGGUUAAAAAUGAAAACAAAUUUUGAAGAUGCAGGGAUAUCCCUUGAUUGAGGAAGGCUUGAACACCAUUGUAGAAUUGCAUCUUACGCAUCGCCACAGAGUUACGGCGGCAAAAGCCUAUAGCUAUCUGAGAGUUGGCUCGUCUACGAAAGAUCAAUUUUUAAAGUACUCCAGUGAAGGAUUGACUCCUAGCGAAGCCAAAAAUUUCCAUAAGUCGAAACUAAUGGCUACCACUUCAAGUGAAAAAAUAUAUGAAACUCUUAACAAUGCCCUAGUAAAUCAUAUGAAACGAUCAAUUUAUCAUUUGUAUGAACAAUGGAGGUACGUACACUAAGAGAAAUUUUUUGCAACGAUAGAGAGACUUUUUUACAGCAGCGAAACCGUUAUAGCAAAGUGUUUCUCAGUGUAUUUCUGUUAAGAUUUGUUUCCAAUUAUAAAAUUAUGAAAAAAGAACAAGCAAAAUCGUUUUUGAAAAGCUGAUGGAGAAAAAGGCACAUUUUGAAGAGAAUGGAACAAGACGUUUACAAGCGGAGAGCCGUUUUGCUAUGUUGUGGUAACGCCCUUAAUUCUAAGAAAAUCGAAACUAUUGAAAAUAUUGAGUUGUUUGCUAAUAUCUGCACAAGCAUUUGUAAUUUAAAAAAAAAACGAGAAAGAUAACAGUCCAACCUACUUCUAUUGCACGCCGGGCAAAUAGAAGUUUACAUGCCUCCGUUAGAGCAAUAUAGGCAGGUAGGCCUUCAAAGUUGGAAGUUUUAAGAAACAAAAAGAAGAAAUCAAAAAAAGAUGAGAUCAUUAAGUGAAAAUAUUGAGCUUGGUAAACCAAAUGCUAUCAACCAUGGAUGUAAACAUUAAAAUGUGCUACCUGUAUAAA